CGGGUGAGUAAGAUUUGGGAAACUACCUGAUAGAGGGGGACAACAGUUGGAAACGACUGCUAAUACCGCAUACAGCCUCAGGGUGAAAGAAGGAAUUCGCUAUCAGAUGUGCCCAAACGGGAUUAGCUAGUAGGUGAGGUAAAGGCUCACCUAGGCGACGAUCUCUAGCUGGUCUGAGAGGAUGAUCAGCCACAUUGGGACUGAGACACGGCCCAGACUCCUACGGGAGGCAGCAGUAGGGAAUAUUGCACAAUGGAGGAAACUCUGAUGCAGCCAUGCCGCGUGUGUGAAGAAGGCCUUCGGGUUGUAAAGCACUUUCGGAGGGGAGGAAG
rnacentral:rRNA from 1 species